rnacentral:sRNA from 1 species
GCUGGGCAUGGUGUCACAUACCUGUAAUCCCAGCUACUCAGGAGGCUGAGACAGGAGGAUCAUAAGUUUGAGACCAGCAUCAGCAACUUAGCAAGACCCUGUUUCAA